rnacentral:rRNA from 1 species
GAUGAACGCUGGCGGCGUGCCUAAUACAUGCAAGUCGAGCGAACAGAUGAGGAGCUUGCUCCUCUGACGUUAGCGGCGGACGGGUGAGUAACACGCGGAUAACCUACCUAUAAGACUGGGAUAACUUCGGGAAACCGGAGCUAAUACCGGAUAAUAUAUUGAACCGCAUGGUUCAAUAGUGAAAGACGGUUUUGCUGUCACUUAUAGAUGGAUCCGCGCCGCAUUAGCUAGUUGGUAAGGUAACGGCUUACCAAGCCAACGAUGCGUAGCCGACCUGAGAGGGUGAUCGGCCACACUGGAACUGAGACACGGUCCAGACUCCUACGGGAGGCAGCAGUAGGGAAUCUUCCGCAAUGGGCGAAAGCCUGACGGAGCAACGCCGCGUGAGUGAUGAAGGUCUUCGGAUCGUAAAGCUCUGUUAUUAGGGAAGAACAAAUGUGUAAGUAAAUAUGCACGUCUUGACGGUACCUAAUCAGAAAGCCACGGCUAACUACGUG